UAGUAUCUAUCCCAAAGACCAGGGAGAAAGGAAGGAAAGAUUCUGGUUCUGUCCUCUUCCCCAAGGCAAGGCUGGCUGCCCUACCAACAGAGGCAAAGAGAAGAGUGUGCAAGGCUGGCUGCCCUCCCAACAGAGGCAAAGAGGAGUGUGUGUUGAAAUAUCCAUUGAAUCCCUGAGACAACUGGAUCCUGGCCCAUUGAAUCAUAAACUCAUUUCAGAGAAGAUGAAACUGAUGUGCGUCAAAAAGUUAUGGAGGCUGGGAAGACCUAGAAUGUGGCAUCACUAUUUGGAAACCAUGCCGAUUACCGACCGAGCUCUCAAUGGAAAAAUGCAGUCGGCGUGAACCACGCACGAACACAGCAGAGAAAGAAGAAAACACACACCACGAGGAACCCUAAUAGGACAAUACAUUAUAAGUCACAGUGCUACGGAGAAACCCAGUAGCCACAUGGAAGCAGAGACCAUGCAUAUGCAUCUACUCCGCAGCUCUGUGAAUGUCAGCAGCUCCCACGGACUGGAGAUCCCGUGAGAUCCCGUGAGAUCUCACCCAUAGCCUCAUGGUACAUCCACUUGGUGUGCUGGGAGAGUCAGGAUGAGGACCUGAGAAGAACAGCAGCUUGAACCUGACUUCAUUUAACAGCCCACUGCCCUCUUGCCAAGAACCCAUCACAGACCUUCCCAGAAGAGAGGGAUGAGCCUCACCUAUGAAUAAGUCCUCAGAAACUCAAAUUUGAUUCUAAUGGAUUGUUUUCUCAGAAAGACUGAGCAUGUCCCCCCACAUCUCUGUCAUUUCCCACAGUAGUAACCUCUGCAGAUGCCACAUAGAAAACAAAACAAAACAAAAAAACAUGAGGUUGGUGGGCAGAUAGGCAGGGUAUAAACAAACAGCCUUGUAACCCAGAAGCUGUGUGAUAUACAGUAAACUUCACAACACUGAAAAGAUGUCCUAUCUGUUAAAAUGGGGUAAUAACAACUACCCGAAUGUUUAGGAAUAGAACUUCAAUAAAUGAUACAUUUUAUAGUACAGCAGA
rnacentral:lncRNA from 1 species